UACGGGGGGGUGCAAGCGUUGUUCGGAAUCAUUGGGCGUAAAGGGCGUGUAGGCGGCUAGAUAAGUCAGAUGUGAAAGCCCUGGGCUUAACCCAGGAAGUGCAUUUGAAACUGUUUGGCUUGAGUAGGGGAGAGGAAAGUGGAAUUCCUGGUGUAGAGGUGAAAUUCGUAGAUAUCAGGAGGAACACCGGUGGCGAAGGCGACUUUCUGGCCCUAUACUGACGCUGAGACGCGAAAGCGUGGGUA
rnacentral:rRNA from 1 species